rnacentral:misc_RNA from 1 species
AGGUGGGAAGCAGGGCA